rnacentral:lncRNA from 1 species
AGGCGGUAGCUGCACGUCGCGCAAUCCUGGCUGCAUUCGGCCCGCACGGUCGCCAGGAGCCCGGGGCCGAGCAACAGCAGCCAAGUGCAAAGUGUCAGGAACCGCGCCAUGGACUGCGAGGAGAGAGGGACGCGUGCUUCGAGCCUGCCUGGGCGCAGAACGGGGUCCCUCGGCAGGACCCUCGCCGCGACAGCCUCAGCAGGGGAUCGUCGAGCAAAAGCCCGCAGGAAUGCUCCUUUCUGGGGCCCCGCCCUCCCGGCCGACAGCUUUUAGGUAGACGUGGAGGCGACUCAGAUCGCCUCGCGGUUCCCGGGAUGGCGCGGUCGCCCCCAACGCGAGGCUGCCUGGGGCACCCGGCUCUUUUCCUGGGCGUCCGCGGCCCAGGGCAAGAUUCCGGAGAGAACGCCGCAGACCAGGGGCGAGAGAGCGGGAGCCGGGGGAGGCAGGACAUUGACUGGGGUCACAAAGAAGAACCAGGGAACGCUGUUGGGGAACCCAUGCAAUGAAAUGUGAAGGGAAAGAGGGCGGGCAGACGUCCCCAAACCCGCUCAGCAAAGACAAGCUUCGGGCAAAUUCACUCACGUUGACGCUGUUCGGAUGGAGCAGGCCAAUUGGAAAAGCCGGGUUCAGACACGACUCUAGAGGGAAGAGAAGAAGGAAGCUGAACUGACACGAAACAAAAGAAGUCCGUUGUUUUGGAUUGAGUUCCAUACUUGGCUGGCCCAGAGGUUGAUCUCACCACCAUUCAGAUAUCCAAGAAGAAGCCACCUGUUGGAUUUAAGAAAACCCAGUAAGAUGUUGCUACUACGGUUUUUUUUGUAUGUGUGUCUCUGCAGGUAGAAACCUAAUUAGCCAAUAAAAUGUACUUUUGCAUGAGAA